GCUUAUGAUCCACAUGGAUUUCCUCUCUCCCUCCAGCUGCAUUGCGGGACCUGUUGCUGUUGCCCUCUGUAUGCCUCCUCAAUAUGCAAGGUAUAUCAGCAUGAAGAUCUACCGACUCAAUGUGAAAGAAGCACAGAUGGGUACUAGCAGAUGUGAAAUUCUUCUUGGAUUAUUUCUUAUUAGUAAUGCUGAAGAAUAAGCCUCUAUCUUAGGGGUAGGCAGCGUUUUUUGGUCAGAGUGCCAAAAACCACCACAAUGCCUAGCUUGGAAGGUCCCGGAGUGCCAAUAUAGCAGAAAAACAAAAUGAGGGCAAGGGGUACAUGGCAGGAUGCCCUGCUUGUGCCCCUUGCCCCCCCACCCAAAGCACCUGCCCCACAGCCUUACUGCCCCUUGCCCCCCCACCCAAAGCCCCUGCUCUACAGCUCAGGCUCUGUAGUUGCCAGCAGCUACCCCAGCUCUGCUUGCUGCAGCUGCCCAGAGCCUAGGCUGGCUCCAAACAGCUGUGCCAGGCUCAUCACCUCUGUGCCGGGAGCGGAGGAGAGACCAGGUCUGCGCUGCCUCGGACCCCUCCCCCACUGCCUGCUCUGAGGCACAUCUGCACACGCCGUGUGGAGCUGAUGCAGGAGCCCGGCACAGCUGUUUGGAGCCUCCUGGCUUCAGCUGCCCCUGCUCUGGGGAGCUGGUGUGUUACGCCUCAGCUCUGUAUUCUUGGGCAACCCUGGCACAGGAUGCAGUCUGUCUGACUCACAAAGGACUCACCCCCCCCCUCCCUCCCCUCCUCUACAUAAAAAACUGAUUAAGAUGCAGUGAGAGACGCACUUAAAACUCUCCAGAUAAGGGUGAUAAGAGUGAAACAACUGCCCUAGGUCUCAUUUACAUCCGAGAUGGAACCAGAUGACCAUUCAUUUACAUGAGAGAUGGAAAACAGAAAGCCUGAAGCAGAGACUGCAGUGAAUUCUGGGACCAGAGAAGCAGGAGAGCGCUGCAUGAUGGGGAAUCUGUGCUUCCAACGUUAAUUAACCCAUGUUCACACACACCCAGCUCAGCAUUUAUCAGACCAGUUCUAAUCUGGAUUUGCUAAGGACUUUUCCCCCCCCAGACACACACACACAGCUCUAAGUUUAAUAGGCAUCUCGGGCCGUACAUUCCCCGGUCCCACUAUGGGAGGCCUAUUUAAACUUGAUUGACUAAAACUCGGUUGCCAGGUUAGGGAAUGCUGAGGCAAGAGACCGAGUCAGAGGGGGUACGGGCAACAUUUGAACGAUGGUUAAGGGUUCAUCACAGCAUCCAGCCUGCUGGAGCCCUAAUCCCAGGUGUUGUCGUAUCUUUCCCGAGACGACUGGUGGGAGUCCUCUCCACAAAAGGUUAUGAGCACCCCAAUAAUUGCUUUAAGUCUGUUAAAAGACUAUAGUAAAAUCUGGAAAAGUCAUGCUAAGCUGAGGCUUGUGCACAACAAGUAAAAAUCCAAAAUCCUGAUGCUGCAAGCUAUCUAUUGUUCCUGAAGAAACCAUGAGAUAUCCCGUCAGGAUAUCUGCCAUCCAUAGGAAUCUCAAGCUGGCUCCCAAGUAUUUGGGUUACUCCCUAAUCUUAAGUGUUUCCUGAUUAUCAAUCAGUUAUCUGAGAUGGUCCAAACCAGAUAACCCCUUGUCAAUAGAAAAGACAAUGAUUUACACUACUGAGGGUGCUUUGAAGCAGCUGAACUGAGGGUAUAAAAAUCUGUAAGUGUGUGUGCUUAAGAAGAGAAGAAAGAGAAAGAAAAAGAAGAAGCAGGAGGAAAGAGGGAGAAAGAAAGAAGAAGAAGAAAACUCCUGUGCUGACACCAUCCCCUGUCAUUCUUGGGACACUGGAAGAACAGAUCGUCUCUCUCUUCAAGGAUUGUGCUACGGACUGUGCCUGUCAGCUUUGCAGCCUGGGUACCGUGGACUCGGUGAGAUUCCCAGCGUUCUCUCUUCUUUCUAGGCAUAAACUUCUGAACCUGAACUGUAUCAGUUAAGCUUGAGCUAAGUUUCCCCAAAUACUUAGUGAAACCAGGGUAGUAUUGUCAUUGUUUGUGCUUGUUUUUCUUUUGCAUGUCUAUUACUACUAGUACUAUUAUAUAUUUCAUAUGCUUAGCAAUAAAUAACUUUUAUAGGCAAA